CAAGCGCAUACGCAAAUGAUAGUGCAUUGGACCUCUAACCGGAUUUGAAGGUGAAGAUGAGAUAUUCGUAUGCUCGGAACUGACAUGCAAAUAAACCCAUGUUCUUUUGAUUCUUAAUUGAAGCCCUUCUCCCGUUUUCUCUGUCUGCAGAAGCCUCUCCUUGGGAAACAAGAGAGAAAUACUUUUUGACUACUAGAGAUGUCAAGCACUUCAAAUAUAUCAAAAAUAGGAAAGAAGGCCUCAUUGACACCCUCAUCAGCAAAAUCAUCCCCAUCGAAUCAACGAUCGAUAGAAAACAUGCCAGGCUUGGAGAAGUUAAUCUCUAUGCAGAAUAUGCAAGUGAUGCUACUAUCAAUCCAAGAAGUCAUGUCAAAAACCACAAUGAGAUUAAAAGCAAAAUGGGGGAGAUGAAGGGGGACAUAAAAAAGAUUGAUGAAAAAAUAGGGAACAUCCAGCAAAUGAUAACAAAGAGUAAGCAGAGAAUACAGAAAGUAGAAAUGCUAAACAAACAGAAAAAAAUGGAAGAAAUGGAUCAAAAACUAUCCUUGGCUAACAAAGAAUAAGAAGAGACAAUUUUUCUUGAAAUGGAAAAGGCGGCUUUCUAUCUGAGAUGUCAGAAUAUUGUUGAAGAGAAAGAGGAAGACUGGUUGAGGUGAUGAUGGACUUGUUGGCGGAAGUAUUGCAGAAAAACAAGCACAAUGUACAAAGUGACAUAAAUGAAACAUUCAGAAUCCACACAAAUUAUGCAAGAAGGCACAAACUACCGAAAGAGGUGUACGUAAGGUUCACCAAAAAGACAAUGAGAGAUGAAGUAUACAAAUGAACGAGAGAUGAACCCAUGAUGUACAGAGGGAGAUAAAUCCAGACAUUAAAAGAGUUACCCAGGAGAGUCAGAACAGAGAAGACAGUUUCAAUUUUUGACCGCACAAUUUAUUAAGUACAAUGUAAUGUUCAGAUGGUUGAUACCAGAAAAAAUUCUGAUCUUCUGGCAAAAUAAGAAAUUCAUGGUGGAUACCUUAGAUAAAGCACGUGAAUAUUUUGAACACCAUUUCAGGACAGAUGAAGAUUAGGAAAGUAGAGAGGAGAUAUAAAGUAAAAGCCAAGAUGAACUGCAAACAGAAGUAAAAGCUUUAGAACAAGAAGAAAGAGUGAGGGUGGAAAAUGACCAGGUGGAAUGAGAAGGCACCAAAACAAAAGGAUAGAGAGAGACAAGAACAACUAGAAAGACAAGACCUGUAUAUAAGUGAAAAGAUAGAUGAGGAAAUUAAGAUGCUAUCUGUUAAUAUAAAUAGAUUGAACCUCCCCCCAAAAAGAAAACAAAUCCUUACAAAACUGCAAAGAUUAAAAUUGAAUAUAAUCUGCUUCCAAGAAGUGCACAUCAAAAAACAACAUGGCAAUCUAUUAGAAUACUCCAAAAUUGGGAAGUUGUACUCGUCUCGAGUAUAUCAAAAGAAGAGAGGAGUAGCAUUAUACAUUAAAUCUAAACAAAUAUAUGCAGUGGUUAUCUGGGAUAUCUUUUUUCUCUCUUUUCUCACUUUUUUCUUUCCCCUUUCUUUUUUCCUUAUAGUCAACAUUAAUUGGACGAGCUAUGAAAAGAAAAAGAGAGAAUAAAAUCAGGAAGAUGAGCAGAAAGACAACACCAGUGGGCUCUGUAACAAUGACUCCUGCCUGCUCCCCGGCAGGAGGUCAAAGGUCAAUACAGAUGAUGAUUCAACAGGAAAAAGAGAAGGCUACAUCAUUAGAGGCAAUUAUGCAAGCAAUACAAAAAUUACAAACAAGCACCGAUGAAAAACUAGAUACGCUUGUAAAGAGGUCUGAAAAUAUGGAAAAGAAGAUGAAGACAAUGGAUCAGCGA